CUGACAACAGAACAUUCAGAUUUUUCCGCUUGCUGCUUCGGCAUCCUUCAACUUGAACUACAAGAAUACUGCGAGAAAGAAAAUGGCGGAUUCACUGGAUUGGUUAGCCGGAAGUCCAUGACCAUCUUUAGAGGCCUCCAGCUGUUCAGAAGCGCAGAUCAAAUACUCUCCAGCUUCGCCUCGCCGUCAUGAUCUACAGAAGGCCAGGAGUGCCAUUUCAUGUGUGGCGGCACCACUACACUCAGCUGGUAUGAGAGUGAAGCCGGACCUGGACUGAAGUCAGGAACUAUCAAGUUGUACUAAUUAGACUAGAAGGUAAAAAUUCAGUAAGUUUAUUUUAAUUUAAAUGUGAGUCACAACUUGUACAAUUUCUCCUGGAAUAAAAAGUUGUCCUACCA